AAGCGCUUGCAAUCAGACUUGUUUAAACUGUUCGGCCGGUCUUCUGACCGGUUUACUCAGUUUGGACAGGCCAGCAUCAGUUUCGGCGGCCGGAUAAAGGCUCUGGGAAUGUGGCCUUCACUUCGGUGAAGGUGUUAUAGCCCAGGGUGUAAUACGGCCAGCCGGGACUGAGGUCCGCGCUUCGGCUAGGAUGCUGGCGUAAUGGUUGUAAGCGA
rnacentral:rRNA from 1 species